UACUACAGCCUAACUAAAGCUAGAGGUUGCUUGUUUGACCUGACCGCAUCUGUGAAGAUAUCGUGUGGCGACGGUGUACCAAUCUCGCUGCAUAUCUUCAUCCAUAAAUACAGCACCCGAGCGAGGCCUCCAAGCGAAAUCAAGUAGUACAACACAAAGCUCUCUAUCAGGAAUUCGAUCAGGAUCAUCGUCGUCCAUCAGUCGAGACGUACGUGGUUCAGUUCAACAGUACGAGAAUGAGCUCCUCGGACGACACCUGCGGCAAGAAGGCGUCGUGGCCGGAGCUGGUUGGGAAGUCCAUCGAGGAGGCCAAGAAGAUCAUCAUGAAGGACAGGCCGGAUGUGAAGAUCAUCGAGGUCUUCCCGGUCGGCACCGCCGUGACCGGGGACUUCAGGCCCGACCGUGUCCGCAUCUUCGUCGACACCGUUGCGGAGAUCCCCCGCAUUGGCUAGCUUUUGUUGAUGCCCCACCGUUUUAUGUGUGUGUGUCUGUAUGUGUUAUGUUCCUGAAUAAACCAUAGCUAGUGAGUAGUGACCAUGUAUGCAUACUACUCCUAGCUAUGUCGGUCGCUCUGUAAGAAUUAAAAUAAUCAUUAAACUUUUUUAUGGGAAAUAAUUAAAGUUGA